UACGUAGGGUCCAAGCGUUAUCCGGAAUCACUGGGCGUAAAGGGCGCGUAGGCGGCUUUGCAAGCGUGCGGUGAAAGCUCGGGGCUUAACUCCGAGUCUGCCGUGCGAACUGUGAGGCUUGAGUCUGGUAGAGGUCGAUGGAAUUCCGGGUGUAGCGGUGGAAUGCGUAGAGAUCCGGAAGAACACCGGUGGCGAAGGCGGUCGACUGGGCCAGUACUGACGCUGAGGCGCGACAGCGUGGGGAGCAAACAGG
rnacentral:rRNA from 1 species